rnacentral:misc_RNA from 1 species
UUUAGUUUGAACAGUCCAAUAGUCUUUAUUAGUGCUCUUUUAAACUAUGAUUAAAAUUAAUCAAGUGCUAUACACCUAGAAGUUGAUUUCAAAUUAACUUUCUUUAAGUUGGUAGGACUCAAAAAUCAGUGUUGACAAUUAGUCUUCGUGACCCAGUGCAUGCCAAACUCAAGACAAGGGAGAAUUAAAUUAUAUCACGUCCAUGCCUACUUUACAUCUUUUUCCCUCCACCUGAAACGCGUCUCUCCCCUUUAGUCAAUCAGAUUAUAAUUGAUUUUCACCCCUUUGAAUUGAUCGGGAUAGCAACGAUUAUGAUUUGGCCAUUGGAUACACUGUAAAAUGUUUGAUUGAUGAAUCUGUUGGACGAGAGAGAUGUCCCACAUUUGCACAUAUUCCUCAAUCCUCCAUCUCUAAUUGCUUUGCAUUCGAGAUAAAACGAAAGAAAAAUAAAGGGAUUUGCGUUAAUCAGCCCUGUGAGCAUCAGACUACAAAAUAUUCCACAAUUGUUGAGGACAAUCGAUAUGACCAGCAAGGGAAUUUUUUGCGACAAAAUCUGCAGCCUUGUUUGCAGAUCUCUUAACUAAAGAAAAGGAGACUGCAUGAAAACGAGAACACAGCUUUAAUUGCCGAAUUGUUGCACUAAUUCUCCAGCUUACAUUCCACACUGAAUCUUGGAUUGCUUGAUACAAAACAGAACAAUCUAUCUCAUGCCGAAUAGACUGAGCUCCCUAAUUUAAGAGCUUCAGGGAGGGCUAGUGCCUCGCCCACUAAUGGAGUAGUAGCUUGGAUGUGCGGGCUAGGCUGUCAAUGAUAUCUCCCUUGUAGUUCCUAACCACCACUGCUGCAACUGCAAACUCACAGUUUUCCUUCAAAGCUGUAUCGCUAUUAAACUUUAGGAAUCCAAGCUGAGGAGACCACUCAGUGGGGGAGGGACUGUGAUGAUCAUUCAUCAAGCUCAUUACGAUUCUCCAAAACUUCAACCAGUUCAGAAAAACUGAAGCUUAUACCACAAGCAACUGCAAUAGGAUCAGGAGUGCUAUGUUCAAACACUGCCUUCUUGUGUUCCUUCCAUAUAAUCCAACAGGUUAUAGCUAUCAGCAUCAAAGAAUCAUUAUCUACAUGGAAUUCCUGCAACAAAUCCGUCCACUAUUGGGCAAAAGAGGAAAAUCCAAUAGAAUUUGGUCUGUAAUUGCAUGGGCUAGAUAGCCAUGUAGCAUGAGCAUGAUUACACCAGAACAUCAUAUGUUCCACAGUCUCUGGAUUAUUGCCACAAAUUGGACAAUCAGCACCAUUUGUGUAAGCAGUGAACUCCAAACUACAGAACUAUCAUCUGCAAUUGAUUUAUGCCUAAAAGCCUCACAUUUUCUUCUCUUCAGCUAAAAGCCCAACAUUUUCUUCUCUUCAGCUUUCAACCUCAACUCUUCUUUGGAAGGCAAAUUGCCACCACUCCUUGAGGUAGCAGCCCACCACGCCACAAGCUCAUCCUCAAGGAAAUCAUGGUUGGAGACGUGUUGAGUUUCAACAAGACAUUUGAUCCCACCUACAUUGACAGCAAUAGAUUUUUUGGAAUUUUGCGGUGAACUCUCCACUUGUGCUCCAGUAAUGCAAGCUACAUAGUAUCCAGUUCCCCCAAGGCCCUCUUGCCACUUCCCAAGCCGCACGCGCAGGAAAAACCCAUCAAGACGUGAGAGUGGCAUGUGGGAGUUUGUCCAUUUGAGAAUAUCUGUUCGCAACAAAUGAAGCCUUCUUAUGGCAUCAAAGAUUCCCUUUGGUACAUCAGAAAUCUCAUCAUUGACAAGUUCAUAUAAUGGCUCCAUUAGGUUUUCUUUCAACUUUUUCUCUCUUGAACUUGAAGCAAUUUCUUUCCCAAAAAAUUCAACAUUCCAUUUCUGGGUCAAAUUCAGAUCUUUCUCCAUUCCAGAAUCAUUUCUAUCACAAACUGUAAGUGGACCAGCAGCAAUGUCUCUUAGCUUUGGAUUGUCUUCAAUGCUUACAUUAAGCUGCAUUUUGCUAGGACCACAUUGGUUGACCAAAGAAGCAUCAUAUUCUGCUUGAUUCCCUACUCUUGAAAAUGCAUCAGGACAUGCAACAGCCCAAUGAUUGAGCUGAAAGCAUCUAAUACACACGCAAGGUAGUUCAUUUACCCAAUUAUAUGAAUUGAUAUUUCUCAGAAGAUCUUCAAGCUCAGUAUCAGUUAUCUCUGAACAUUCUUGCAAAUGGUGACCCUUUAUGCCACAAAAAAGGCAGGUCAUGGUUGCACAAGCUGCAUUUUCUGGUUCAUCUGAUGGCAUGAAGUGUCUGAGGGCGUCCAAUCUCCUUGCAAAGACAGAAGCCAUUGCCUCUGAAGUUUUGAAUCUGGGGGAAGGUAAGAUAGGGUUAAGUUUAUAUAUGGACUUAUCAUUGUGGUGUCCUUUGAUCUUAUAGGAACCAAAUGAAGCCUCAGUAGCAGUACCACAAUUUCGCACAUGCAGUAGCUCUUCAUUUUCAUUUUCAUCAAAAGAACCAAGAGGACUCUGCAGUUCAGGUUUCUGCCUCUGGCCAUCAGAAGAGCAGUUGAGAGACUCACCAGUACUUUUUUUGGAAGGAUCCUGGUUCAACAAAGAACCAGAAGUUUUUGGGGUAAACCGAGCUAUCCACAAACUCUCCAAAGGGUCACCUUUGUGAUUAAAAUUACAGGCUGUCUUUCCUUCAAAUGGCAGUUCAGAAUCAAUUUUCUCAACAUUGUUUGUCUUAUGUUUACCCCGAGAAGAAUUGGAGCUUGUUCCAUCUCUCUCCUUACCAGUUGCCAAAUUGCAUGAAUGUUUGUUCACUGUAGAGUUACCCCCAUUGUUUUCCUGAAUGGCAGCAAAACUCAUAGAUACAUCGUUAGAAUGGACCACCGGAAUCUCUUGAUUGCCACAUGUAGACUCAUUGAACCUAUCAUUUGAUGGCAGAAACCGUUUGUAAACAUUACCAGUCACCAUCUGACAAGCUAUUGGAGUAGCAUCCAAAUCGUAUAUCCUAUUAUCAAGCUCAUGUUCUUUCAAUCCUUCUGUUGGAUGAUCAACAUUCAACAUGACGGCUUCUUCACACUUUGUCUUUCGGCAAUACAAGGACUGAAAAAUGGAUUGAAAUCCUAUAGUUCUGCACCCAGGAUCUUUGUUUCUGUUGCUUGUGAUAAGAUCCUGAUCAGGAUUCUCAGGUCCAUGACUGGGAUUUGGAAGGGCAGGAGAAAGAGAAGGUACCUCGCCUUCACUUGAUUUCGAGAACCCCUUCAUCAUGUUUGAGAUCCAAUUCAUGAAUGAGCUAUCUUGUGUAAUGAUUGAUGAAGAACUGGGACCUUCUUGGAUUUGCCUUUUUACUCUUUUGCUUCCUACAAUCAAUUGUUGCUCAAAGUUCCAUCCUCGUUUUCCUGUUGAAAAUAGCCCAGUGCUGUUACAGCUUUCAACACUCUCAUGGCUUCCAUCCUCCUCAUUCAACGUCAUUUCAUUUGCAUCUCCAUCAGAUAAGGCCUUACACUUGCCUUUCUUAUCCCUUUUGAUUCUGCUGUUAGUGGGAGACUGUUUAACUACCAGAGUCUUGUCUGUAGGUGGUAACUCAUCAUCCAGCUGAGUGUUAUUUUCAACUCUAUCAGCAGAUUCCAAUGUUACAAUCUUAGUUGUCAGACCAUAAACAUUUUCACCAAGUGGAAUUUCUAAAUCAUUCUCAGCGGUUGACUCCAAUUUUCCCAAAGGAAAAAUUCCAGGAGGGCUCAUGAAAAUUGUAUUUUUGCAUUCUUUUCCGAAAACUGAAGUUGAUUCCGCGUGUCCUUUUCCUGCAUUCUGCAUUUUAGUAUCGUGAGCUUCACAUUCUUUCACGCCAUGAAUUUCAGAGGCCAAAACAAUUUCCAUUCCAAAUGCAUGAUUUCCAUCACCGACAUUUGUAAAGCUGCCAGUAGGUUCCUUUUGAUCAUUUUGUGCCACUUCCAGGCCAGGCCCGUCUGUUUCAAUUGACAAAAGAAGAAAUCAAUGCCAUUUCAAGUCACGUGAGCGAAAAUCAAAAGGUGAAGCUACAUUAUUUUCUGAUACUAAGAAUCUAAGACAAAUAUAAGAAGAACAAAAACAAAUCUUAGCUUGCUUUACAUCAGAGGCAAACUGCUUGAAAAAAUAAUACCAAAAUCUAGCAUAGCUAUUGCAUUAGUAGCAAUUUAGGGACUCUCGAGAAUUUUUUCUCUAUUACUGAAAGUAUAAAGCUCUCAUUCAACUUAGUCCAUUUUCAGAACAAUAUGAAUAAUUAAUUUCCGAACAAGGAAGUGUUUUUACUACUCCAGCAACAAGAACUGUUCGGCCCAUCUAUAGUUACCAUAUGGAUAGGUUUCCUACAAUGCUACACAAAAUUGCAAAGAUAGCAUAAUGCAAAUUUGUCUUCUCUUGUCCCAUGUAUUUCAGCCAUUUGAAGAUUGACUGAAUCACACAUAUUUCACCUUUAUUAUUGCUUGGAUCCUCCAUCUGUAGACAAGAAAUGUCCCCUGCAUUUUUCAUUUCCUCCGCCUGAUCAACAGUCGCUGCCAAAUGAGACGUGUUCAGCAAUUCAAGACACAGAUUUGGAAUGUACAAUAUUAAAAUUCAUAGGUUCAAACUCAGUAUGGCACUUCUAAUGGUAUUUCAAAACAACUCAUCAUUACCUGUCUUGAGUUCAUGACCUGAUACACUUGGUGGCAUGAUACCUGCAUUGCUUGUAGGAAAUAUAGCGGAGUCAUCUCCUCCUGCCACUUCACUUCCCAUAUUACUUGCUGCCAGAGAUGCCAUAAAAAUUUUUUUGUUGAUAGUUUUGUCAGUAUUUAAGAGAGGUAUAUCAUAACUUGAUCCACUUGCCAUAUUGGUAGGUCCUACACCCCAUAAAAGAGAGGGCUUCUUGUUGGAGAAACUUCCAUCAGCACAUCUAAGACUCAAACCUUUCUGGGGAGACCAAACUAGCUUGGACAGGCGGUCGGUGGCCAAAUGUCAUGUCUACCCUUGAAGCUGCAUUUGCACCUGCACCAGGAUCCUCAUUGUUCAAAAUUAUCUGAACGCACUGAUUGGAAUAACCCAGAGCAAGGCUAAAAUUAGUCAUUGGUUCUGUGUUUUUAUCAUCAUUCAUCUUGUUGGAUAAAUUCCCCAGUAGGCAAUCCUGAAAUGCCAACGAGGUCCAGGUCAAAGUCAGACUUCUCCAUGGGGCUAAACAUGAAAAAUCUGUCUACACAAAACAUUAGAAUCAAUAUACAUUAACAUGGAAGCAAUGUUUCCAAAAACAGGUUAUAAAAUAAAAUUUUUUGACAAAAUAAGUAGAAGUAUUGAUGUUACUUAGAAUUGAAUCUGGACCUAGCAUAUCCUAACCUAUCCAAUAAAAUAAUGAAUCUAGAAGAAUAUGGAGAUUAAGCAAUUCCAUUUGAGAGGUAAAAUCAACUUUCUGUUGUAUGGAAAAGAACCGUCCCACACUCUCAUUUGAGAUAAAAGAAUCAAAUAGGACCCAGAUGCCAGAUAUAAACCAGUAAACCACAGUGCUAGCCCUAUAUAUGUAAUCUCCAAGCAUAAGUACUAACAUGAGACCCAAACUGGGCACUGAAUUUUGUGAUCAUAACAUGGGAGUUUGGCACUUGAAUGUCUAUUUCUGUAGAAGAAAAAUAUGAAGAAAUAAAGCUCUUGUAAAAGUAUCAAUGAACAUAAGUAUUUCAAGAGAAGUUAUGCCUUUGUACUUGACAUAUUAAAUAUAGUACUAGCAAAUUAAAAGAGUCUACAUGAACCAUAAGAAUUAAGAUGCUAAUCCUUGUCGUAAGGGUGUAGUAGAUUUAUUCA